AGGAAGGGAGGACGUAGGAUAGCGGACUAACUGUGCCGCUGUGUGCACGGUUCACAGUUGCACAGGUUCUUUUGGCUUCACGAAUGCCAGCAGUAGCUCCCACAGUGCAGGACACACGCUGCUUUCAACUAUUGGUGGAUUAACACAUCAGGAAGCUUUGAAUCAAGCAGCACCAACAGGUAUUUACUGGAAUCCCAGCUCAGGUUCUCUGCAUCCGUGACUAAGGCAAUUCAGAACCACAUUUGUGGGUGACUUCCGUUUUCCUCCCUGGUGAUCAAAGUUUUUCAAAGUCUGCACUGAUUAGAG